rnacentral:rRNA from 1 species
UACGGGGGGGCAAGCGUUGUUCGGAAUUACUGGGCGUAAAGGGCGCGUAGGCGGUUUGUUAAGUUGGAUGUGAAAACUGUAGGGCCUCAACCUGGCAGCCUGCAUCCAAUACUGAGUAGGGCUAGAGUUCGUGGAGGGGAUAGCGGAAUUCCUGGUGUAAGCGGUGAAAUGACGUGAGACUAGUCCGGGAAGAACGACCCGUGGCGAAGGCGGUUCU